AGGGGACAGAAAAUGGGGUGAAAAGGGGACAGAAACGGGGACAAGAGGACAGAAGAUGGAGGGACGAUGUGACAGAAAUUGGAGGGAAACGUGGCAGAAAAGAGGGUGAACGGGAGAGAGAAAAGGCAGGAAGUGGGGACAGAAAUUGGAGGGAAGAGGUGUCAGAAAAUGGAGGGAAACGUGGCAGAAAAGAGAGUGAACAGGAGACAGAAAAGGCAGGAAGUGGGGACAGAAAUUGGAGGGAAGAGGUAACAGAAACGGGGGGAAAGGUGACAGAAAAUGAAGGGAAGAGGUGACAGAAAUUGAAGGAAAACGUGACAGGAAAGAGGGUGAAAAGGGGACAGAAAAGGCAGGAAGUGGGGACAGAAAAUGGAGGGAAGAGGUGUCAGAAAAUGGAGGGAAGAGGGGACAGAAAUGAGGGGAAAGAGGGGACAGAAAAUGGAGGGAAGAGGGGACAGAAACGAGGGGGAAGAGGGGACAGAAGAUGGAGGGAUGAUGUGACAGAAAUUGGAGGGAAACAUGACAGAAAAGAGGGUGAACAGGAGACAGAAAAGGCAGGAAGUGGGGACAGAAAUUGGAGGCGAAAGGGGACAAAUUGGAGGGAAGAGCUGACAGAAAAUGGAGGGAAGAGGUGACAAAAUGGAGGGAAACGUGACAGAAAAUGGGGGGAAGAGGGCACAUAAAAGGUGGGAAGACUGACAGAAAAGAUGCGAAAGAGGUGACAGAAAAUGGAGGAGGAAGAGGUGAUAGAAAAUGGGGAAAAGGGGACAGAAAAGGGGCAAGAGGUGGCAGAAAAUGGAGAGGGAACAGAAAAA